GUAGGGAAUAUUGGGCAAUGGAUGCAAGUCUGACCCAGCCAUGCCGCGUGGAGGAAGAAGGUCCUCUGGAUUGUAAACUCCUUUUUUGGGGGAAGAAUAGUUUUCUUGCGAGAGAAUGUGACGGUACCCUAAGAAUAAGCCACGGCUAACUACGUGCCAGCAGCCGCGGUAAUACGUAGGAUGCAAGCGUUGUCCGGAUUUAUUGGGUUUAAAGGGUGCGUAGGUGGUUUGAUAAGUCAGUGGUGAAAGUUGGUUGCUCAACAGUCAAGUUGCCAUUGAUACUGUCGGACUUGAGAGAAGUGGAGGUUCAUGGAAUGGAUGGUGUAGCGGUGAAAUGCAUAGAUAUCAUCCAGAACGUCGAUUGCGAAGGCAGUGGGCUGUACUUUAUCUGACACUGAGGCACGAAAGUGUGGGGAUCAAACAGGAUUAGAUACCCUUGUAGUCC
rnacentral:rRNA from 1 species